rnacentral:lncRNA from 1 species
UUGUCCAGGUGGGAAAGGGCAGUGUGGAGUGCAAUAGAGAUUGCAUCAUCUGUGGAUCUGUUUGGGCGGUAUGCAAAUUGGAGUGGGUCUAGGGUUUCUGGGAUAAUGGUGUUGAUGUAAGCCAUUACCAACCUUUCAAAGCACUUCAGGAGUACCAAGCGUGUCAUACACGUGGUCUGAUACGGUCUGACAUACCAUGGCUGUCAGCCAAUCAGCAGUCAGGGUUCGAACCAUCCAGUUUAUAAUUCAAAUUGAGAACAUUGGUCAAAAGACUACUGGAAGCUGGUGGUUGGAGAGACGCGACAGAUUAAGAGGUUGGUGUAUUGGGGCAGCCUGUUUUGUCGUCUGUAUUUCAGACAAAAGCAAGACUAUGUUUAAAGCUCACUAAGGAUCUACAAACAGGUGAGCUUCUUGGUCCUGGCAGCCCUGAAGCUGGUGGACCUAGACCUGUGGUACCUGAUAAUCCCAGGCUUUGUGUUGAGUGGGGUGUUCUAGGGCAUCUGUCACUAUGGUCAUCAUCACAUUGGGGAUUCCACAUCAAGCUUAGUGACUGCCAGAGGUAUCUUUGAGUAUGUUCCUGCUGGUCCUGGCUCUGGAGUCUCUGUUCCACGGCCUCUUCUUUGAGCUGGGCAACAGCCUAGGCGGCACGUGUGGGGUAUGCAAUGGUCAUCCCCACCAAUUGUUGCAGGCAGGAAUGUUUUGAUAGUGGACCCCCCCCCCCAAAUACAU